rnacentral:rRNA from 1 species
AUUGAACGCUGGCGGCAGGCCUAACACAUGCAAGUCGAACGGUAACAGGAAGCAGCUUGCUGCUUCGCUGACGAGUGGCGGACGGGUGAGUCAUGUCUGGGAAACUGCCUGAUGGAGGGGGAUAACUACUGGAAACGGUAGCUAAUACCGCAUAACGUCGCAAGACCAAAGAGGGGGACCUUAGGGCCUCUUGCCAUCGGAUGUGCCCAGAUGGGAUUAGCUAGUAGGUGGGGUAACGGCUCACCUAGGCGACGAUCCCUAGCUGGUCUGAGAGGAUGACCAGCCACACUGGAACUGAGACACGGUCCAGACUCCUACGGGAGGCAGCAGUGGGGAAUAUUGCACAAUGGGCGCAAGCCUGAUGCAGCCAUGCCGCGUGUAUGAAGAAGGCCUUCGGGUUGUAAAGUACUUUCAGCGGGGAGGAAGGGAGUAAAGUUAAUACCUUUGCUCAUUGACGUUACCCGCAGAAGAAGCACCGGCUAACUCCGUG